CCUACGGGAGGCAGCAGUGAGGAAUCUUGGUCAAUGGGCGAGAGGCUGAACCAGCGAAGUCGCGUGAGGGAAGACGGCCCUACGGAUUGUAAACCUCUUUUGUCGGGGAGCAAAGUAAGCAACGUGUGCCGCAACGAGAGUACACGAAGAAAUAGCAUCGGCUAACCCCGUGCAAGCAGCCGCGGCAAUACGGAGGAUGCGGAGGUUAUCCGGAUUCAUGGGGUUAAAGGGGUGCGAAGGCGGAAGUACAAGUCAGCGGUAAAAUUGCGGGGCUCAACCUCGUACGGCCGUUGAAACUGCUUGACUUGAGUGAGCGAGAGGGAAGCGGAAUGCGUGGUGUAGCGGUGAAAUGCAUAGAUAUCGCGCAGAACUCCGAUUGCGAAGGCAGCAUACCGGCGCUCAACUGACGCUCAUGCACGAAAGCGUGGGUAUCGAACAGGAUUAGAUACCCUGGUAGUC
rnacentral:rRNA from 1 species